UACGGGGGGGGCAAGCGUUGUUCGGAAUUACUGGGCGUAAAGGGCUCGUAGGCGGCCAACUAAGUCAGACGUGAAAUCCCUCGGCUUAACCGGGGAACUGCGUCUGAUACUGGAUGGCUUGAGUUUGGGAGAGGGAUGCGGAAUUCCAGGUGUAGCGGUGAAAUGCGUAGAUAUCAGGAGGAACACCAAUGGCGAAGGCAGCUCGCUGGGACGGUACUGACGCUGAGACGCGAAAGCGUGGGGAGCAAACAGG
rnacentral:rRNA from 1 species